rnacentral:rRNA from 1 species
ACUCAAAUGAAUAGACGGGGGCCCGCACAAGCGGUGGAGUAUGUGGCUUAAUUCGAUGCAACGCGAAGAACCUUACCUGGGCUCGACAUGCAUCUCUAAUCCGGUGAAAACCGGUGAGCCCCGCAAGGGGCAAUUUGCACAGGUGCUGCAUGGCUGUCGUCAGCUCGUGUCGUGAGAUGUUGGGUUAAGUCCCGCAACGAGCGCAACCCUUGUGACCUGUUGCUUCUGGUCCGCGAGGAUCAAGUACUCUGGUCAGACCGCCCUGUGAAACGGGGAGGAAGGUGAGGAUGACGUCAAGUCAGCAUGGCCCUUACGCCCAGGGCUGCACACGUACUACAAUGCCCAGUACAAAACGAGCCGAAGCCGCGAGGCAGGGGAAAUCAAUAAAACUGGGCACAGUUCGGAUCGCAGGCUGCAACUCGCCUGCGUGAAGUUGGAAUCGCUAGUAAUGGCACAUCAGCUACGGUGCCGUGAAUACGUUCCCGGGCCUUGUACACACCGCCCGU